CCCUGCUCUACUACCAGCAAGUCUGUCUCAAGUGCUUCCCAGGGCCACUGAUUACCCAUAUUGGUGCCACCACAUACAUAGCAACUAGUUACAUUUAGGGACUGUGCUAUGUUUUCAGCUAGGUCAGAAACAAAUUACGAGUGGUGUGAGAGAUUUCCAUCUGAGAUCCUAUCUCUUCAUAAAAAAGAUUGAAAAACCUGGUGGGUCUCACUAUUU